GCAUGGCUGAAUACUGUGUUCUUUUUAUCAGUAAUUUACACAGCCAGACACCAUGCAAAAGUAGUUUUCCCUUUGAAAUGACUGAUGGUAUGUUAAGUUUCGUCAUGGCAUAUCUUUAUUAAAAGUGGAUACAAGU